GAAUUCACUAGUGAUUCAGGCCUAACACAUGCAAGUCGAGCGGUAGAGAGAAGCUUGCUUCUCUUGAGAGCGGCGGGCGGGUGAGUAAUGCCUAGGAAUCUGCCUGGUAGUGGGGGAUAACGUUCGGAAACGGACGCUAAUACCGCAUACGUCCUACGGGAGAAAGCAGGGGACCUUCGGGCCUUGCGCUAUCAGAUGAGCCUAGGUCGGAUUAGCUAGUUGGUGAGGUAAUGGCUCACCAAGGCGACGAUCCGUAACUGGUCUGAGAGGAUGAUCAGUCACACUGGAACUGAGACACGGUCCAGACUCCUACGGGAGGCAGCAGUGGGGAAUAUUGGACAAUGGGCGAAAGCCUGAUCC
rnacentral:rRNA from 1 species